UUUUCUUUUUCUUCCUCCUGCUCUCCUCUCUGCUCUGGAGCCGCCAUGUGAUCCUGGCAAGAGAAGACGCCUGCUGCCAGCGUCUCCAUAGAUAAGUCUUUAUAUUAAUAGUUAUGGUUGAUAAUUAAGACUGAGCUAGCAUUUAAGAAAUCCUAGUCAAUUGGCCAACAGCAUUGUAAACUAAUAUAAGAUUCUGUGUGUUAUUCUGGGCGCCCAUGUGGCGGCGGGGUUUGGGCAGAUGGAGGAAAGACUUAUCGUUACAGCUUCCUUUUUGGCAGUGGAAUGACAUUAACACAGAGAACCACAAUGAUCAAAACAAACAUGCCCAAAUGGGACAUCUGUAUCAGAUCACUUCUCCCUAAGACUCAGAGAACAUCUUGUAAGGGAGGUGGAGAAGACCCAGGAGGACAACUGUGAAACAUGUCUCCUGGACAUGAGAAAGAUGUUGUUCCCAUGAAGUAAUGAUAUGGCUGUUUGCACAUGCUCUACACAAGACCACACUGAUCAGCGUUCCAGAAUGGAUGAAAGAAGGGCUCUCUGGUCCCUGCUCUGCUUGAAGAAGCUGCUGAAGGAAGGAGAGUCCACCAGUUCCCAUCAGGGUCAGGACUCUGCCCAGAGACAAGGACAGAAGACCGUAGGAGCCAGAGGUCCGGGAGGACCACAGCGGAGACAGAGUCUUUUAGACCUGACUGAACUGCUGCAGUCGGGAACCCACAGCAGCUUUGGAUGCUACACUAGAUCCACCCAGUCAACAUUCCAGCAUGGGGUGGGGGGCUGGUGAGCCCCCUCCAAAAGCUGAGGAGCUACUGACAGCUGAUGGCUCCUGGGGGAGGGAGAGUGAGUUGUCUUUAAGGGGGUGGCCCUUGAGGAGAGACCCUCAUCCAGGUGUGACUCCAAACUCAGGAGUGCGUGGGCAGCACAAAUUGGGUAGGCUGUUGGUAACGGAUGAGUCUGGGAGGAGUUGGGUGGUAGGUGUAUGAUCAAAAUACCUUGUGUACAUGAAACAUAUAUGCAUGUAAGAAAUUCUCAAAGAAUAAAGACGUUACGAAGGAAAAGCCUGUGGGACCUGUGUCGCUAGGAAGGCUCUCGUGG
rnacentral:lncRNA from 1 species